AACGAACGCUGGCGGCACGCCUAACACAUGCAAGUCGAACGAAGUAGCAAUACUUAGUGGCAGACGGGUGAGUAACAUGUGGGUAUCUACCCUUUGGCCUGGAAUAACACGAGGAAACUUGUGCUAAUACCGGAUAAGUCUUUACGGAGAAAGCUUUAUGCACCAUUGGAUGAGCCCGCACUUGAUUAGUUUGUUGGUAGGGUAAUGGCCUACCAAGACUAUGAUCAAUAGCUGAUUUGAGAGGAUGAUCAGCCACAUUGGGACUGAGACACGGCCCAAACUCCUACGGGAGGCAGCAGUGGGGAAUCUUGCACAAUGGAGGAAACUCUGAUGCAGCGAUGCCGCGUGAGUGAAGAAGGCCUUUGGGUUGUAAAGCUCUUUCGUCGGGGAAGAAAAUGACUGUACCCGAAUAAGAAGGUCCGGCUAACUUCGUGCCAGCAGCCGCGGUAAUACGAAGGGACCUAGCGUAGUUCGGAAUUACUGGGCUUAAAGAGUUCGUAGGUGGUUGAAAAAGUUGGUGGUGAAAUCCCAGAGCUUAACUCUGGAACUGCCAUCAAAACUUUUCAGCUAGAGUAUGAUAGAGGAAAGUAGAAUUUCUAGUGUAGAGGUAAAAUUCAUA
rnacentral:rRNA from 1 species